ACAUGCAAGUCGAGCGGAUGAAGGAGCUUGCUCCUGGAUUCAGCGGCGGACGGGUGAGUAAUGCCUAGGAAUCUGCCUGGUAGUGGGGGACAACGUUUCGAAAGGAACGCUAAUACCGCAUACGUCCUACGGGAGAAAGCAGGGGACCUUCGGGCCUUGCGCUAUCAGAUGAGCCUAGGUCGGAUUAGCUAGUUGGUGAGGUAAUGGCUCACCAAGGCGACGAUCCGUAACUGGUCUGAGAGGAUGAUCAGUCACACUGGAACUGAGACACGGUCCAGACUCCUACGGGAGGCAGCAGUGGGGAAUAUUGGACAAUGGGCGAAAGCCUGAUCCAGCCAUGCCGCGUGUGUGAAGAAGGUCUUCGGAUUGUAAAGCACUUUAAGUUGGGAGGAAGGGUUGUAGAUUAAUACUCUGCAAUUUUGACGUUACCGACAGAAUAAGCACCGGCUAACUCUGUGCCAGCAGCCGCGGUAAUACAGAGGGUGCAAGCGUUAAUCGGAAUUACUGGGCGUAAAGCGCGCGUAGGUGGUUUGUUAAGUUGGAUGUGAAAUCCCCGGGCUCAACCUGGGAACUGCAUCCAAAACUGGCAAGCUAGAGUAUGGUAGAGGGUGGUGGAAUUUCCUGUGUAGCGGUGAAAUGCGUAGAUAUAGGAAGGAACACCAGUGGCGAAGGCGACCACCUGGACUGAUACUGACACUGAGGUGCGAAAGCGUGGGGAGCAAACAGGAUUAGAUACUCCCCUGUGUAGUCCCACGCCGCUAUAACAGAUGUCUAACUAGCCGUUGGGAGCCUUGAGCUCUUAGUGGCGCAAGCUAACGCAUAAGGUGACCGCCUGGGGAGUACGGCCGCAAGGUUAAAACUCAAAUGAAUUGACGGGGGCCCGCACAAGCGGUGGAGCAUGUGGUUUAAUUCGAAGCAACGCGAAGAACCUUACCAGGCCUUGACAUCCAAUGAACUUUUCCAGAGAUGGAUUGGUGCCUUUCGGGAACAUUGAGACAGGUGCUGCAUGGCUGUCGUCAGCCUCGUGUCGUGAGAUGUUGGGUUAAGUCCCGUAACGAGCGCAACCCUUGUCCUUAGUUACCAGCACGUUAUGGUGGGCACUCUAAGGAGACUGCCGGUGACAAACCGGAGGAAGGUGGGGAUGACGUCAAGUCAUCAUGGCCCUUACGGCCUGGGCUACACACGUGCUACAAUGGUCGGUACAGAGGGUUGCCAAGCCGCGAGGUGGAGCUAAUCCCACAAAACCGAUCGUAGUCCGGAUCGCAGUCUGCAACUCGACUGCGUGAAGUCGGAAGCGCUAGUAAUCGCGAAUCAGAAUGUCGCGGUGAAUACGUUCCCGGGCCUUGUACACACCGCCCGUCACACCAUGGGAGUGGGUUGCACCAGAAGUAUUUUAGUCUAACCUUCGGGAGGACGGUUACCACGGUUGAUUCCCAC
rnacentral:rRNA from 1 species